CACAGCGCGUACAAUGUGGAU
rnacentral:miRNA from 1 species